rnacentral:rRNA from 1 species
CCUACGGGAGGCAGCAGUGGGGAAUCUUGCGCAAUGGGCGAAAGCCUGACGCAGCCAUGCCGCGUGAAUGAUGAAGGUCUUAGGAUUGUAAAAUUCUUUCACCGGGGACGAUAAUGACGGUACCCGGAGAAGAAGCCCCGGCUAACUUCGUGCCAGCAGCCGCGGUAAUACGAAGGGGGCUAGCGUUGCUCGGAAUUACUGGGCGUAAAGGGAGCGUAGGCGGAUAGUUUAGUCAGAGGUGAAAGCCCAGGGCUCAACCUUGGAAUUGCCUUUGAUACUGGCUAUCUUGAGUACGGAAGAGGUAUGUGGAACUCCGAGUGUAGAGGUGAAAUUCGUAGAUAUUCGGAAGAACACCAGUGGCGAAGGCGACAUACUGGUCCGUUACUGACGCUGAGGCUCGAAAGCGUGGGGAGCAAACAGGAUUAGAUACCCUGGUAGUCCACGCUGUAAACGAUGAGUGCUAGUUGUCGGCAGCAUGCUGUCGGUGACGCAGCUACGACAUUAAGUACACUCCGCCGUCGGGGUAGGUACGGUCGCGAAGAAUUAAAACUAACAAAGGAAAGUUAGACGGACGUGAGACGUGCCGAACGGACGACGACGAGGGAGGUAGG